UAAUUAGCUCAUGUUUAUGCAGGCUGUCCAGGAAGCAUGAAGCUGACAUCUGCUUGGCUUUUGGAUAGUCCUCAGGAAACUUACAAUUAUGGUGGAAGCUGAAGGGUGAGUAGGCAUAUCAUAUGGCAAAAGCAGGAGCAUGAGUGGGAGACCAGCCUGGCCAACAUGGUGAAACCCUGUCUCUACUAAAAAUACCCCCCCCU
rnacentral:lncRNA from 10 species